GUCGGGAAGAAGCAAGCCAAGGCCACGGCCCCCAAGGCAACGGGAGGCCUGGGCGGUGCUGCCCCCAAGGAGGAGACUGAGCUCCGGCCUCAGCAGGAGGGGGAGGUGAGGCCCCCAGGGGCGGAAGCCGGCCCCGCUGUGAAGGAGGUGGCUGAGGAAGAGGCGGCAGGGACCCCAGGCUGGGAGGAGAACACGAAGG